rnacentral:rRNA from 1 species
AGAGUUUGAUCCUGGCUCAGGACGAACGCUGGCGGCGUGCUUAACACAUGCAAGUCGAACGGAAAGGCCCUUCGGGGUACUCGAGUGGCGAACGGGUGAGUAACACGUGGGUGAUCUGCCCUGCACUUUGGGAUAAGCCUGGGAAACUGGGUCUAAUACCGAAUAUGACCAUGCGCCUCCUGGUGUGUGGUGGAAAGCUUUUGCGGUGUGGGAUGGGCCCGCGGCCUAUCAGCUUGUUGGUGGGGUAAUGGCCUACCAAGGCGACGACGGGUAGCCGGCCUGAGAGGGUGACCGGCCACACUGGGACUGAGAUACGGCCCAGACUCCUACGGGAGGCAGCAGUGGGGAAUAUUGCACAAUGGGCGCAAGCCUGAUGCAGCGACGCCGCGUGAGGGAUGACGGCCUUCGGGUUGUAAACCUCUUUCAGCACAGACGAAGCGCAAGUGACGGUAUGUGCAGAAGAAGGACCGGCCAACUACGUGCCAGCAGCCGCGGUAAUACGUAGGGUCCGAGCGUCGUCCGGAAUUACUGGGCGUAAAGAGCUCGUAGGUGGUUUGUCGCGUUGUUCGUGAAAACUCACAGCUUAACUGUGGGCGUGCGGGCGAUACGGGCAGACUUGAGUACUGCAGGGGAGACUGGAAUUCCUGGUGUAGCGGUGGAAUGCGCAGAUAUCAGGAGGAACACCGGUGGCGAAGGCGGGUCUCUGGGCAGUAACUGACGCUGAGGAGCGAAAGCGUGGGGAGCGAACAGGAUUAGAUACCCUGGUAGUCC